rnacentral:misc_RNA from 1 species
UAAAAAUAAAAUAACAAUGGGCGCUUCGCCGUCAGACAACAUGCACCAGUCAAAAUGUUAACAUUUUAUAAAUAAAAUAUGAAAUAAUAUUUCGAAACAUGGCAUAUUCUGCAACCAAUAACAUACAUUUAAACCUUCUAUAUUUUCAAACUGCAUAACGAUCCAAUAUUGGCAGUGUAACACUCGGGCCCGAAGGCGCGGCAUGGAGGGCGGGGGGCGACAAUCGCGGCUGCUCAGCAGAUUGCUCGGGAAACUGCGAGGUGACCACCACAAGUAUACUCUGGACAAACGAUACUCACUCACUUCUACUGUCAACGACUCCAAAGAGGUUCAACACUACGCUUCGUCGGCACGCGGCGGAUCCAACAGCGUUUUUUACUUUAAUAUAAAGCCGUCGACUAACGAAGCCCUUCACGUGUCCAGCAUGAGCGAGAGUACAGGCUGCAGCACCACCAAUGAGGACGAAGACCUGGCCGAGGAGCCGCAGGUCUGCUGCCAACCCUCACAGAACGCCUCAUCAGCUAUCGAUGAUGACCAGUUCGGUGCUAACAUUGAUUUGAGAUAUGGCGGACAAUAUUUAACACCAGAACAGCUGCCUGAGUUCUGUGAUCAACUGCAUCACUUGGUUGAAGUGAUAAGAAAUAUACAGUCAUACGCUAAAGUCACUGGAGAAUACCCAAGUGAACUAGAACGGCGGCUAGAACAAGAAGCGCGUGAGGUAGCGGCGCUGGCAGCAGAAGCCCGCAACGCGCGCGAGGUGGUGGCGCGCGCGCGGGCGCAGCGUCGUGCUGUGCGAGCGCACAAGAAGCAUCUCGUGUCGCAUCUCGCCAGCUUGAGGGAAUCUGAGGUGCGGGAGCUAGAGAGCACGGUGCGCCUGUCCGACAGGAAACUCUUCAAGAGCUGGGAGGCGCUCAAGGACUCCACCGACCCAGCAGCCUUCGAGCCUCUGCUUGAUGAAAUAAAGAACAAACAAGCAGCGUUGGAGUGCCUGGUCCGUCUGGUGGACAGCAAACAGGCAGCACUGUCCCGCGCCGCGCCUCUGCCAACCCCACUCCCGCCGCCCGAGACACAUGACAAUGAUGUGGGGUGCAGAGUCCGGAACAACUGGUGCUUCGGGCGGUUCGGGCGCGCGUAAGAGGCACGAGGGCCCACGCCGGCCCUCCAAGCGACGCCGUCGCGAGCCACGCUCCGUACCACUUUCUGGGGAGCCAAGCAGACACGCACCGCCGCCACAGGUUACCCUAUACAUCCAAGGAACAGAGAGCACAUCACGCUACAGAGUCGGAAGCGCCGGAGCAGUCGCGCUCACGCCUCUCGAACUCCCGUCCGGAGGCAGCGUCAGAGACAUACUGUUCUUCACCACUAACUGACUGU